CAAAUGUUUUUUAGGUCUCAAUUGAUAUAUAACAGUAAUCCAUUAUAUGUCAAUAAAAAGUUUUUUGAGUACAGAUUGUUCAUUCAUAUGUGACAGUGGUGUCCAAACUUUUUACCAUGAUGGCCAAAGCACUUUUUGACCACAAAAAUAA